UUUAGUUUUGCUUUUAUUCACAUUUUGUUAAUAAAAGUUUUUUACAGUUUUUCUUGUAGUUUUGCAAGUGAUCAUGAUACCUUUAAACCUGAGAGAUGGGGUGCAUCUUCAAAACCUAAAGAGUUUAUAAAUAUUCAUAAAAAAGAACCUUUAGAAAAGUUUUCUUAAAGUUGCCAUGUUUGAGCAUAUCAUGAUGUCUUCUGUGAACAAGAUGCUUCUAGUAUCCAAAGGUAAGGCAAUGUUUCCAGUGGUUUAUUUUAGGUUUUUGUUUUUUUAUUCACGAUGUAAUCAUAUUAGUUUUAGUUUAAUUACGCAAAUAAUACUUCAGAAAAUGUUACAUUUUGUAAAAUACAUUUAUAUUAAUCAAAGAUUCCAAAUAAUUUUUGUUAUCGAAUUCUUGUUAAAUAAAGAUAUGACAAUGUAGAGUAGUGUAAAUCAACAUUCACCCACUGAAAGCACUAUAAAGUAAGAACUUUCACCCUCAGUCUCAUGUAGCCAGAAAUAGUGAAAAAGCAACUAGAUAUGAAUAAUACCCACAGUCCAAUUAGCUGGUGAAAAAGCAGUUAGAGUCGAAUGACUCAUAGCGGAAAGACACAAACACGCACUCACACACACAUACAUGCCUUCGGAAAAAAGAAAAAAAAAACAUCUAGAUGAUAGUCUUCCAAUAUUAAAUACUGGACAUGGCUGCACCUUUAACCCUUACAGAAGGUAAUUCAAGUAAAAUAAGGUUAAAAGAAAGAGGUUUUCCAAAAAUAGUGUGUUGGAGAAUCAGGGGAUUUCUAACCAGAGGCUAAGGAGAGAGGCCUAAAGAGAGCCGUCUCUGUUUGAAAGAGGAAAACAGAGAGAGCAGGAAGGUCCAGGAGAAUGAAGGCUUGUGGAGUAAAAGGGAUGUCACAGGAGAGGAUAGAAUAAAAGAAACUCCAACACAUCUUGACAAACAGCCAAGCAUGUGAAAUAUUUCCAAUACAUUUGUAAAAAAAGGAACUUGAGGACUUGGAAGAACAAAGAAAGUAGAGGGAUGGAAAGGCCCAUAACAGAAUGUACACAGGCAGGUACAAACACUGUACAAAUUUAAACAGGGUGUGUUGAUGAUUGGGGUUUUAAGAUGCAAAACUAAUUUUAUUGAAAAUCAGGUCUUGGUCAAGAUGAGUAAAUAUUCUUAGAUUGAUUUUACAGACAAAGGCUUACAUGCAGCUUUGCAUAAAAAGAUGUAUAUUGCAUCUUCAAGGACGAAGCGUUAAACAAUAGGUGAAAGCAGUUGAAAAGAAGAGGAGAAAGUGAGAGAAAGCGACAGCAAUGUCUGGCACCUUUUAAGGUCUGGACUUGUUGUAAUAUCACCAAAACCAUGACAGUGGCAGUGGAGGGAGAUGAAUAGAGUGUCCCAAACCUAAUAAUGUACCCUACACUGAAGCCCGUCUGAUGCAAGAUUUGCCAGAGAAAAUUCCAGUUCAUAUGAUUAAACGCUUUUUCAUCAUGCUGUUUCUGUAACACUAACUUUUUUUAUUUAACAUUAAAUAAUAGAACUGUUUUCAAAUAUCUGACAAACUGGUCAAAUGCUGGUAAGGUAAAUUCAAGUUUUAUUCACCAUUUGUAACCAGCGUAUGGGAAGUCGUUAUUCAGUUUGUCUUCGUGUUAUAUUCCUGGAGUUGUUUAGUUCCACUUUAGUUUGAAAUUGCUUUAUUAAAAUACUUUAUUUUAAAUAUGUCUCAUAGAUUAGAAGAGUUGAUAAAGUUACAGUCUGCAUAUUGUUUUAAUGUUUUGGAGACAUUCAUUACCCACAGAAGGUAGCAGAAAUGUACUUGGACGGCUGCCUUUUUCAACCUUUUCAUGAUUGUCCAUUUGAUUUAGUCAGGCAAGUACGGUAUGAAAAUGCUAGUGAGAGCACUUAUAAAAAUUACUAAAAUAUGUUAAUUGUUACUUAAACUAUUGUACAUAAUCCAAACAAUCAGAUUGGUCUUCUACAUAACAAAGCAAGUUGUUCUGUCAAAAAUGUUACCUAAUGGCUUAAAGUAGUGUUCAGUGAUUUAUGUUAAGUUUAAUUAAAGAGGACAAUCAAAUUUUUCUAUCUUUUAAUAACAAAAAGUGCUCUUUGAUGAUGUGAAUUGCCAGAGAAGACCAGAUUUGUGACCUCACUGAUCUAAUACUAAGGUGGUGUAAAAACUCUAAACCCCAGGAUGACAAGGAUGAGCUGGCUGUACAUGGGCCCUAACAGCCAUUCCUCUCUUUUCUGUUGAUUUAUACAAAAACAGCUGCAUUGUUUCAUGCCACAAUUUUUUUUAAGUGCCCACAUGAAAGCAUAUGUUUUGCUAUUAAAAGGUAGAAAAUAGUAACUGUUCACCAUUAAUUUUAAAUAUAGCCACAGAAAGUUAUAUUUUAAGAAGGUUUCAAGAUAAUUUUUUGUCAGUCUAUGUUUUCUAGAAAUUGUAUUUUAAUUAAAUCAGGUGGUAGCAAUAGCUAUGUAGUAGUUUCUUCUUUACGGAAAAAUGCUGUCUUUUUUGUAGCUUUUCCCGCAAAGCAGGACACAAUCAGGCUGAAAUUGUUCCUGUCAUUGGGCACUUGUGCAUUCCUUAGCUCAUGUUUUAGGCUUAAAAUCCACCAACUUGCACCUGGGCUCUAAAAUGUGACAUGUUUUGUUGUAUUCAUGACGUUGUCACAUCUUAUUAAAGUUACUGGUAGAGGUGGAUAAAAUGGAAGGAAAGGGUCAAGACCAUGUGAAUAGAAAUGAAUAUAUCCUAUUCUGGAAAUGCGCCUCUGCUAGUAAUUCACACAUGCAUAGAUACACAACUCUCCAUGAGGUAGAAAAUAGUGUCUUUGUCCAGCAGUGUUUAAAUCCUGCAGAUUAAAAAUGCCACAAAGGAGUGUUGAGCUCCGUUUUCCAGUUCUGCAGUGCAUCAUGAAUAUUCCAAAGAAAAUAUGCAGUCUUGAGGAGAGAAGAGUAACUGUGGCCAUGAAAUGGUAAUGACAGAUUAAAUCCUAUAUCCUGGUGAUGUGAGUACAUAUUGAGGACUCCAUUGUUGCUUAGCUAGUCUAGUCCAGUCUAAAAUCAAACAAGGAAAAAUGUAUUUGGAGGAAAAAAGCUGAAUUGCUCUGAUUUAGGCCUUGUUUUGUUGCUAUUCCUUUGUUACAUUUAAACUGCAGCACAUGGUAAACAUCCACUGAAAACUUGAACAACAUUGCAUGCUCGUUUGUUAAAAAAAGACCAUUAAAUAAAAUGUUAAUUUUGUAACUUCAAUAAUGAUGUACUGCCUCCUUUUUAUAUUUAUGUUUUUUUCCACGUGACUUUUCUUUAGUUAUGAACAACUUGUGUGUUCUUGAAGUAAAGAUUUGUUAUAAUAACUUAACAUAAAUGCCCAGUUUUGUUGUAUUUUACACAGUUCACAUCUACUUAAGAGUGGAUCUUUGAGAUUCUUUACCUUUCACAGUAAGGUGCAAGCUCUGGCACCAUGGAAUGAUCAAAAUGUUCACUGCAAAAGUGCUGAUGAGGCCAGCCACAGGAAGCCGAAGCUGGAUGGAAAUGGGUCAAAGCCAUUGGAUGGAUCAAAUGUGUUCAAAGGUAGUUUGGUUAUAAGGGAAAUUAUAACUUGUGGCAAAUUUAGAUUUACUGUCACAGUUUGACAGGUCUUAACAUUUAAAGCACUGUACAUGGUUAUGUAUCAGUUUACAUGAAACGUAAAGUCCUUUUUUUAAUUAAACUGUAGCAAAAUUAGUACGGUUCUCCUCACCACAGUUAAGUACAUCCCCUUUGAUGUGUGUAUACUGUAGUUGUACAGUCCAGAUGAUUACAGUGCCUGACACACAAGUAAUGUUACUUAGGACUAUUGCCAUAUUUGUAAGUCAUAACACUUUGUGUGAAGUUAUCUCAAGGCUUCUCAAUUAUUCCUGUUCUUAAUAUCUAAUUGCCAAUAUCUUCUAAGUAUAUAUAAUUGUUAGUUAGGCAGUAUGGUCUAAUGGCUAACACACUGUUGUACAAUCCACAAGGCUUCCCUGUUUGUAACUCACUUCAAGACCCUGAAGAAGUCACUUAAUUUGACAGUGCUUCUGAUGCAAAGAUAUGGAAACCGUAUGCUCAGAUGCAAAACUAAAACAGUAAAUACAAAUCAGUGCUUAGGGUAAAAGUCAAUUUGAGUGCCUCUUGUUAAAUCUGAGCUUUGAAUUUUGAGAUCUAAUCUGACCACUCAAACUGCAGCAGUUUGACAAGGCUGGAAGAUAAAGAGAACUUAUGCAGCAGUCACCAUCUGACAAAAAGGUGCUCAUCAUGUGGUAGUAUGGCAUUUCUUUACUUUUAUUUUAAUUGUCUUGUAGGAAUCGGUUUCCUUCAUGUUUGCCUUUCUUGCUUAAAAAAUAUGGUGCUUCUUUUUGAUGUAAAAGUUACUAAAAAUAUGUAGUGUAACUACCAAUUAAAAGCAUUAAAUAAAUUAAGUGUAUUUGU